rnacentral:rRNA from 1 species
CCUACGGGAGGCAGCAGUGGGGAAUAUUGGACAAUGGGCGCAAGCCUGAUCCAGCAAUGCCGCGUGAGUGAUGAAGGCCUUAGGGUUGUAAAGCUCUUUUACCCGGGAUGAUAAUGACAGUACCGGGAGAAUAAGCCCCGGCUAACUCCGUGCCAGCAGCCGCGGUAAU